rnacentral:lncRNA from 1 species
UAAGUAAUCGCUCAUCCAACCGUUUAAUUUAAAAAUAGCCAAUAAAUAUAUAAUUUUUGUAUACCAGAUAAAAAUACUACAAAACAUUAAAUUCGAUCGGCUGUUUGUGUAAAUAUCAUAUUUGAUUGAUAAAUGAAUAAUUAACAAAAAACCGAACCUCUUGCGUUGUUUCCUUGGCAGACUGCACAACAGUCCCAGCCUUCUCCAUACUAGACUACUUUUUUUUGAUGCAUCGCAAAUUCAAAAAAUAACAGUGUUAUCUAGGUAAUAGUUGCUAAAAAAAUUAAAAUUCUUUUACGUGUAGAUAUCUAGAGUGAAAAAGUAAGACAAAUUUCAUGCAUAAAGGAAGAGUUUUUUCGUUUCAAAAUGAUACAAGUGGUGUUCGAAAUCCAUUACAUGUUUUCGCCAAUACAAGUAUCUUAUAAUUUUGUUCAUUAAUACUUUGACGGAUCCACAAAUAAUUUUUA